UACGUAGGGGGCAAGCGUUGUCCGGAAUCAUUGGGCGUAAAGGGCGCGUAGGCGGCCCUGUGUGUCGGGUGUGAAAGCCCACCUCUUAAAGGUGGAAUUGCAUUCGAAACUACAGGGCUGGAGUGUCGGAGAGGAUGGCGGAAUUCCUGGUGUAGAGGUGAAAUUCGUAGAUAUCAGGAGGAACACCGGUGGCGAAGGCGGCCAUCUGGACGACAACUGACGCUGAGGCGCGAAAGCGUGGGGAUCAAACAGG
rnacentral:rRNA from 1 species